rnacentral:rRNA from 1 species
AUUAUCAACUUUCGAUGGUAGGAUAGAGGCCCACCAUGGUCUGACGGGUAACGGGGAAUUAGGGUUCGAUUCCGGAGAGGGAGCUGAGAAACGGCUACCACAUCCAAGGAAGGCAGCAGGCGCGCAAAUUACCCAAUCCCGAUACGGGAAGGUAGUGAUAAUAAAUAACAAUCAGGGGCUCUUUUGGGUCUCGAGAUUGGAAUGAGUACAAUUUAAAACCUUUGACGAGGAACAAUUGGAGGGCAAGUCUGGUAUUAGCAGCCGCGGUAAUUCCAGCUCCAAUAGCGUAUAUUAGUGUUGUUGCGGUUAAAAAGCUCGUAGUUGAAUUUCGGGAUUGGGAUAUAUCGGUCGUGCCUUUAGGGGCGUGAAACGGUGUGUAGCCAAUUUCCCACCUUCUGGUGAGUCGGGAUGCUCUUGGGUGUUUCGAUGAAUCAGGACCUUUACUUUGAAAAAAUUAGAGUGUUUAAAGCGGGCAUUUUUGCUUGAAUACAUUAGCAUGGAAUAAUAAAAUAGGACGAUGGUUUUAUUUUGUUGGUUUUAGGGCCACGUAAUGAUUAAUAGGGAUAGUUGGGGGCAUUAGUAUUCAAUUGUCAGAGGUGAAAUUCUUGGAUUUAUUGAGGACUAACUACUGCGAAAGCAUUUGCCAAGGAUGUUUUCAUUAAUCAAGAACGAAAGUUAGGGGAUCAAAGACGAUUUAUGUACGUCGUAGUCUUAACCAUAAACUAUGCCGACUAGGAAUCAGACAAAGUUCAUUUUUUAACGACUUGUUUGGUACCUUACGGGAAACCAAAGUGUUUGGGUUC